AUUGAACGCUGGCGGCAUGCCUUACACAUGCAAGUCGAACGGUAACAGGUCUUCGUAUGCUGACGAGUGGCGAACGGGGGAGUAAUACAUCGGAACGUGCCCAGACGUGGGGGAUAACGAGUCGAAAGCUUUGCUAAUACCUCAUACGAUCUAAGGAUGAAAGCAGGGGACCGCAAUGCCUUGUGCGGUUGUAGCGGCCGAUGGCAGAUUAGGUAGUUGGUGGGAUAAAAGCUUACCAAGCCGACGAUCUGUAGCUGGUCUGAGAGGACGACCAGCCACACUGGAACUGAGACACGGCCCAGACUCCUACGGGAGGCAGCAGUGGGGAAUUUUGGACAAUGGGCGAAAGCCUGAUCCAGCAAUGCCGCGUGCAGGAUGAAGGCCUUCGGGUUGUAAACUGCUUUUGUACGGAACGAAAAGGCUCUGGCUAAUACCUGGGGCACAUGACGGUACCGUAAGAAUAAGCACCGGCUAACUACGUG
rnacentral:rRNA from 1 species